UUAGCUCCUCGGGUUGGCAUCACUACCCUCCGACCCCCUCCCUCUCGCGAGCAAGGUCAGUGUCCCCUGGUCUGUUCAUUCAGACCAUUUUCGCUGGCGAUUUCAGAGCAUGGCGGCCCCAAUGGCUCCACUCCGUCUUCCUGCUUCUUGCCUCCGGAUGGCCUCUCCCGCAUGCCGUCGCACUUGCCGUCGGCCCAGACAGCGCCUACCCAUCCGCCGCCAGCGAACGUGAAGACCAGAUGAUCGAGCCCCAUCUCCGUCAGUUCGCUCUUCGUUGUAGGUCUUUUGUCUGAUUUGAGGUCUGCAAUUGUUCGAUUGGGGUAGUACGUGGUUUGAAUUUGAGGAUUUGAGGUAGGUUUGUGUUCAGGUUUAGAUUUGUGGGGAUGGAUUAGGGAAUUUGUUUGUGUUCGACCUAGUCCUGUAGGGUCUAAAAAAUUGGGGAUCUAAUGAGAGGUGCCUGAACUAUGUUUCUAUAGGUUGCCUGCUAUUCCUCUCGAUUUGGGGUGUGUAAAUUUUGUGUAUUUGUGUGUUCAUCAAUUUCUAUGUUUUCUUACUUGUGUCAUCGGUUAGUAAAGCUAGGAAAUGCAUCUGGAGGUGACUAAGAGUGUCAGAUUAGCACCAGGUGUUUGAUGGAAUCCAACCAUUCGCAAGGUGCUUGGAGGUAGCUGUUGCUGUGAACCACUGUGUAAGUUAACAAUUGUUGAAAUGAUACCACCUGAUAUACUUUUUUAUUAGUACCUCCUCUUUGGGAUUAGGAAUGACAUGACCGAAACAAACUGUCUGUACUAAAUUUACUAGUUAACAAUAUCUUGUUUGCAUGAUUUUUGACAGUAUUCUUUGUCUUGUCCAUGCGGGGUACCUAGUUACGUUACUUGCAUUGUUGAGCUUAAUUCCUAGAUUUCACUUGAUAUGCAACCUUAUAUGUUUUUGCUAAGGAUUAAUUUUGAUUGACUAUAGGGUUGUGAGAUCCCUCAGCCCUCAUUUUAAUAAGAAAAUCAAUAAGACAUUAGCCUUUCAUAUGUCUGACACUCAGAAUUUAUGUCUUUCUCACUGUUUGCCAGUUCAGAGAUGCAUGUGUUGUGUGAUUUAAUUAGUAAUCGUUUGGGAUUGUAGCACGUCAUUAGCUUAAUUAUUAAUUAUUGUUUACAAUAUUUAGACAACAUUAUAACAUUGAAACUUGUGUAAUUUAGAUCUACUUACUACAAUUUUUUUUUACCAAACAAGGGUAGAGACCUUGUAGAUUCUACUGUAGGAGCUUGUAUCUUUUUUGCACAGUGUGGGAUUUAACAUGAUAUAGAUGUUAGUCCUAAAAUAUUUUCUAUGCUAAGAUAAUGUCACUUUUAGGAUUAGUGGAGCCUUUCGCUAUGCACAAAUGAACAAUAAAAAUUGUUUGUUCCAAGCAUUGAUGGUGUGUUAGUGUCAGACUUGAUUUAUAUUUGACUGAUGCUAGGAUUUUUUUAGUUUGGUGUGAAUUAAUGGUGAACUUCUGUUGUUUUCGUUUAAUACAAAGCCGGAUCCUGCUUUGAUCCAGAUGAUGGCAAAUGUUUUCAGUUUUCACCAAUGUGAGUUUGGGGCACGUGGUUGUCUCCUUCACAUAGACCAUCAAGGCUAUGGAGCCCUUCUUCUCGGUGCUCUUCUUAGUCCUGUUCCUAUGAGAGGUAAUUGGUAUGUGGCUGCCUCUUGAAAUUUGUAUUCUGUUGCAUACUAGUGUGUCAUGAAUUUAUACAUCUUCUCUUUCAGUUAUCCCAUUCAAAACUACCGCUUUGAGUCAUUUGACAAGAAGCAGUUAAAAUGUAAAUUUAUUGUUGAAAACAUCUACUGUAAUUUCACAUUUUUUAUCCUUUUGUAGGCUGAAAGGAGAAAACUGUCUAGGAUUACUACCAGAGAGACCCAGUAGCACCAAACCAAGUGCACAACCUUCUAUUGAAUAGAAGAAGGUUUUUUUUUUAGUUGGAAUUCGAUUUUUUUUCUUUACCAUGAUGGCUAUAGUGUAAAAAAAAUAAUUUGUUCCACUUUUGAGCUCACCAUGCGUCUUUAUCAUUAAUUUGGUGAGUGAGAUGAGGUUACUAAAAGAACUAAAUUUAUUAGGGGAAGAUACAAUGUUCAAGUAAACGCUAGGCACCAGGCAGGCGCUAGCCUUUUGACUAGUGCUAGGAAGGUUAAACGUAGGGUCAACGUAGAUUAAACAUAGACGUUAGGCUUUUGUUUAGAGUUUAAUCUCGACUAAAUGAAGUUUAAUAACAUUUUUUUGAACCUUGGGAACAUAACUUUGCUAUAAGAUCAAUCUCUUUUGGUAUAUUGCAUGAAUAUAUGGGUGCAAAUAGGUGCCCCUAUGGGUAUCCACCUUCCCUCUUUAGUUCAAAAGUUUGUACUAGUUUUUUCAAAGUGGAAGUUCAUUUUGAGAAACUAUAACAAAUUUUUAUACUAAAGAGGGGCAGUGGAUACCCUAAGGGGGACCCAUUUGCACCUCUACAUGAAUAUGUAGCACUGGCGGAGCCUCUUGGAGGCCAACCUGGGCCUCGGCCCCCCCUUCCUCCCAAAGAAUUUACGAGGCUUUGGUUUAUUUUGGUAGUCCGCUUAUUACAAGCAACUCACGUAUCCGAGUUCAUUCAUGGAUCUUGCAGGACUAUCCAGAGAGGACCACGUGCAAUCAUGUCUAUUGCUUUUCUUGCAUUUUGCAUCGUUUGACUGUGAUUGCUGGAUAAUGCGUCGCGACGCUCUCUUUUUAUUGUAUUUGCUAGCUGUUGCUACCUCACCGGCUGCGGAGCUCGCUGGGCACUGUCGCCUGGACAUAGGAAGAAGAGCACAGGGCUCCUAAGGGGCUACAGUUAGUCCCUUUGUCGAUUCUUUUCUAAAACUUAACCUUGCAAGUUCAUAGAUUCAUAGUUUUUGGUGAUAACUUUAUUUUUAUGCUAAUUGCUACCCUCAAAAGCUUAGGUAGCUAGGUUUAUAUUAUUUGAUGCCUCACGCAUAUUUAUCUAAUACCAUCGCCAAGCUUUCUCUCCAUUGCGCUCUAGGGCGCCAUGACAUGUGGCACUUAAAGCUUGCCUGCGGUGCGGCAUGUCGGCUCUUUGAGCUUGAGCCUUCACAAAUUGGUCCCCCCUUAAUUUUAUCUCACGCUCCGCCACUGUAUGUAGAGUGCAUAUUCGCCAGCUACAAAGGCAGAGCUAAUAAGGGAUUGUCUCUUAGAUCUUAAACAACAUACAAGGCUGAAAGGAGGCAAUUAGGAUUUCCACCAGAGAGAUCCAACAGCAUGAAACCAAGCACCACCUGCUGUUGAAUAGAAGAAGAUAUCUUUAGUUGGAAUUCUAUUUUUCUUUUUACCAAGAUGGUUAUAGUGUAAAAAAAUAUAUUAUUCCAGUUUUGAGCUUACCAUGUGCCUUUAUCAUUAAUUUGGUGAGUCAGAUGAGGUUAUUAAAAGUCUUAAACUUCUUAGGGGAACACAACUUUGCUACAAGAUCAAUCUCUUCUGGUUCUGGUAUAUUGUGUGAAUAUGCAGAGUGCAUUCGCCGGCUACAAGGCAGAGCUGAUAAGAGAUUGUCUCUCAUAUCUUAACAACAAAACAAGGGUGGGGACAAAGAGAAUGUGAGACUAGAUAGCUGGAGCAUCGGUUUUAUUUUCAUGUUUGGUAUGAAGAUGGAUCGGGAGAAAUUUGUAAUUGUAACUUUCUUGUAAGCCCAAAAAAAUUGUAACUAUUUGGUUUGUUGUAAUUAUUGACUUUUGUGUUGACAUCAAAGUAGUUUUGAAAAAAAAAUAGUGUAAAUUUAUUUUCUAGCAAAAAAAA